CAACCAACCUAACAGUAGUUUCUUUGACAUGCACAACAUGUCAAGGCUCCGGCGUUCAACCCCGGUAUCUAGAUCGCAGAGAAUUCAAGGAUGAUGAUUGAAGCUCUGAACGAGCAGUAGUUUUGAAGUUGAUCCAAUCAGCUUGCAAUGAGAAAGACUAGAUGAUCAACAUUCUUUGUAUCGACACCUUCAGAUUCCAUCGUUUCUUUCACCUUCUUUUGUCUAAUGUACACAAGCUCAAUUUGCUGGGAGUCAGGUGGUAUUGAUUCUACUGGGGAAUCAAUGAGAAGCAGGGGUGUUCUUGUUAUGAUAAUUGAAAGGAAUUAAACAGAAAAGAAGAACAAGGGGAGAUAGAGAAGAGUCACGCAAACAGAAUCACAUUUUCACAACUCCAUAUCUAGCACAAGCAGUACUGAUUUUGCUUCACUAAAGAGCAAAAGCUGCUUCGAAACAAUGAAUGAAAAAAACCUGGCUAAAGCAAUGCCAACAGGCCCAAUGCAUGGCUUCCGGGAAGUUAAAAGCAACAAAAAGAACGAAAAUAACUAGCCAAGCGUCGACCAGCUACCCAGAAUGACAUAUCACGCUGUUCUUCACAUGUAGCAGGUGAAAAGGAAGAGGAUAGUCAGUGAUGGAAAGGACAGCAUAGCAACACUGCGGCUAUAUUAGACGGCGAUUCUUGAAAAAUUAUCAAACUAGCAACAGCAUAGAUGGGGUUGCUUGGAAUGAUAAAACAAUGCACAUAGUCACAACCCUUCGAGUUUUCAAAUUUUUGGUAUCUGAUGAUGUGGGAAAAACUUCAAGGAUGAUGUGUCUUCUUUCACAUGGGAAUCCUUGUGCUGUUGUGCAGGUCUGUUCAUGUCUGUGGCUUUGUGGAUAAUCCUCUACAAUUCUGUACUGCUAGAGUACUGAUUAUUACUUUUCAUCUAUGGCUCAGAGGAAAGAGGCAACAUGAAGCACCAAGAUUCCUGACCAUAAAUACUGCUACUGAGCAGCUCUUGGAAAUUUGAGCAAAAUCGUGGAGAAUCUGGCGAGGCUCACAAUUACUUCACUCUCUUCAGGAUCAAGUGAUAUACAAAUUCAUAUUCUUUGUUUAUGGACGUCAUACUGUGCUAACUUUUAUCCUCUAUAGUAGGAAAUAGCUUAGGACAGUGUUUUACACGCGCAUGUACAGAUCUCAGAUCCGAACUGUGUCUGCCAUAUAAUGCAAGAACCGUCUGUCAUUUUCCUCCGACCCAA